rnacentral:rRNA from 1 species
UACGUAGGGUGCAAGCGUUGUCCGGAAUUAUUGGGCGUAAAGGGUGCGUAGGCGGUUUGGCAAGUCUGAUGUGAAAUCUAUGGGCUCAACCCAUAGUCUGCAUUAGAAACUGUCGGGCUUGAGUAUGGGAGAGGUGAGUGGAAUUUCCGGUGUAGCGGUGAAAUGCGUAGAUAUCGGAAGGAACACCUGUGGCGAAAGCGGCUCACUGGACCAUUACUGACGCUGAUGCACGAAAGCUAGGGGAUCAAACAGG